rnacentral:rRNA from 1 species
AUUGAACGCUGGCGGCAGGCCUAACACAUGCAAGUCGAACGAGUGGCGGACGGGUGAGUAAUGUCGGGGAAACUGCCUGAUGGAGGGGGAUAACUACUGGAAACGGUAGCUAAUACCGCAUACCAUCAGAUGUGCCCAGAUGGGAUUAGCUUGUUGGGGGGGUAACGGCUCACCACGGCGACGAUCCCGAGCUGGUCUGAGAGGAUGACACGCCACACUGGAACUGAGACACGGUCCAGACUCCUACGGGAGGCAGCAGUGGGGAAUAGUGCACAAUGGGCGAAAGCCGGAUGCAGCCAUGCCGCGUGUAUGAAGAAGGCCUUCGGGUGGUAAAGUACUGUCAGCGGGGAGGCGUUACCCGCAGAAGAAGCACCGGCUAACUCCGUGCCAGCAGCCGCGGUAAUUC